CCGAGUUGUCUGCACCCGAAGUCGCUGGCCCAACCCGUAAGGGAGGGAGGCGCCGAAGGUGUGGAGAGUAAGGGGGGUGAAGUCGUAACAAGGUAGCCGUACCGGAAGGUGCGGCUGGAUCACCUCCUUU
rnacentral:rRNA from 1 species